rnacentral:pre_miRNA from 1 species
AUUAUACUCUCUUCGUUUCAAAAUUCUUGUCUUAGCUUUGUCUAGAAUUGGAUGUAUCUAAAUACUAAAUUUGACUAGAUACAUUCAUAUCUAAACAAAUAUAAGACAAGAAUUUUGGAACGGAGGAAGUAUUUA